GGAAGGGCCUUAGCUUGGGGCUAGAGCAUCUGCUGUGAAUGCAGAAGGUCGCAGGUUCAAUUCCUGGCGUCUCCA